GGGUGUUUGCCCGAGUGGCUAAGGGGGUAGAAUUAAGAUCCACUGGACACACCCCGUGGGUUCGAUCCCUACAGCACUCA
rnacentral:tRNA from 1 species